rnacentral:rRNA from 1 species
UUGGCGGCGUGGUUAAGACAUGCAAGUCGAACGAGAGAAUUGCUAGCUUGCUAAUAAUUCUCUAGUGGCGCACGGGUGAGUAACACGUGAGUAACCUGCCCCCGAGAGCGGGAUAGCCCUGGGAAACUGGGAUUAAUACCGCAUAGUAUCGAAAGAUUAAAGCAGCAAUGCGCUUGGGGAUGGGCUCGCGGCCUAUUAGUUAGUUGGUGAGGUAACGGCUCACCAAGGCGAUGACGGGUAGCCGGUCUGAGAGGAUGUCCGGCCACACUGGAACUGAGACACGGUCCAGACACCUACGGGUGGCAGCAGUCGAGAAUCAUUCACAAUGGGGGAAACCCUGAUGGUGCGACGCCGCGUGGGGGAAUGAAGGUCUUCGGAUUGUAAACCCCUGUCAUGUGGGAGCAAAUUAAAAAGAUAGUACCACAAGAGGAAGAGACGGCUAACCCUGUGCCAGCAGCCGCGGUAAUACAGAGGUCUCAAGCGUUGUUCGGAAUCACUGGGCGUAAAGCGUGCGUAGGCUGUUUCGUAAGUCGUGUGUGAAAGGCGCGGGCUCAACCCGCGGACGGCACAUGAUACUGCGAGACUAGAGUAAUGGAGGGGGAACCGGAAUUCACGGUGUAGCAAAUCACUAGUGAAUUC